AUGAGGAUUGUCAUAACCGACCGGGACCUCGAGUGCUUGAUCGCUGCCUGCCCCCUUCUGAAAUCCCUUCGGCUCACCAUGAAUAGCCCCACGCAUGUCCGUCUCCGCAGCAAAAGCCUCAGCUGCGCGCUCGUUGGGUUGUCCAAGGUUGAGGAGUUCACCGUGGUGGACACGCCGCUACUGCAGCGGCUCUACUUGUUCCAGCAGUUUAAUGGUGGGGCAGUCAGGAUCGCUUGUGUUCCCAACCUGCGCGUGCUCGGCUACCUGGACACAAGAACUCACAAGCUGCAGAUUGGUGACAGCGUCAUCAGGCCGGACACAAUGGUGAGUGCAAGGACCGUGGUUCCAAGCGUCGAGAUAUUGGCGUUAGCAGUGAAUUUGGGUAUCUCCGGGGAAGUUAAGAUACUGGCCAGCUUCCUCAGAUGCUUUCCGAACGUUGAGACGCUGCACAUUGAGCCACCUGUAACUUCCAGUGAACCCAGUGGGGAGCAUCAUGCCAGGUUCUAUCAGGAGGUCAGUCAGGUUGAUUGCUUGAGAGCACAUGCCAAGAAGAUGGUUAUUCACGAUUUCCGAGGGGAUCAAAAUGAAUUUGAAUUCGUCAAGUUCGUCGCCAAGAAUGCCCAGGAGCUACAGUUCUUUCUGGUUGUUGUGUCGGACGAAGGGAUCUUGUCUUCAGCUGACAAGGUGAAGGAGAUAAAAGACGAAUUGCAGUAUGUACAGUUUCGCGCAGGUAUCUCUGCAGUGUUAUGGGAGUUACCUAAAGCAGGCAUUCUUUAUCGCUUGAAGAGAGCAGCCGAUCUUGCAAUCAACGACCCUUUUCAGUGUUGA
rnacentral:rRNA from 1 species